ACUAUUCCCUGGCUUUAUCCUCUUUGGAAGGCCCCAUUGCCCCUGAAGAUCAAAAAAAUUGUGUGGCAACUAUUAAGGAAUCGCCUACCCUCGGGGGACAAACUGCUUAAGUGGCAUGGGUCGGGUAAUGGCGUAUGCCCCCUCUGUGCUCUCCCGGAGACCAGGACCCACAUCCUAUUCUCCUGCACGGCGGCGCGGGCCCUCUGGACCUUCGUACACGAGGCACUGGGGCCUGAUUGGGAGGCCCUGGACUUUGUGGAGUUCCUCGAGACCAAAGCUUGCCAGACGGGGUGGAAUCAUCGCUUAUUCUAG
rnacentral:rRNA from 1 species